rnacentral:rRNA from 1 species
AGAGUUUGAUCCUGGCUCAGAGUGAACGCUGGCGGCGUGCCUAAUACAUGCAAGUCGAACGAUGAAGCUUCUAGCUUGCUAGAAGUGGAUUAGUGGCGCACGGGUGAGUAAGGUAUAGUUAAUCUGCCCUACACAAGAGGACAACAGUUGGAAACGACUGCUAAUACUCUAUACUCCUGCUUAACACAAGUUGAGUAGGGAAAGUUUUUCGGUGUAGGAUGAGACUAUAUAGUAUCAGCUAGUUGGUAAGGUAAUGGCUUACCAAGGCUAUGACGCUUAACUGGUCUGAGAGGAUGAUCAGUCACACUGGAACUGAGACACGGUCCAGACUCCUACGGGAGGCAGCAGUAGGGAAUAUUGCGCAAUGGGGGAAACCCUGACGCAGCAACGCCGCGUGGAGGAUGACACUUUUCGGAGCGUAAACUCCUUUUCUUAGGGAAGAAUUCUGACGGUACCUAAGAAUAGCACCGAUGGA